GACGAACGCUGGCGGCGUGCUUAACACAUGCAAGUCGAACGGAAAGGCCCUGCUUUUGUGGGGUGCUCGAGUGGCGAACGGGUGAGUAACACGUGAGUAACCUGCCCUUGACUUUGGGAUAACUUCAGGAAACUGGGGCUAAUACAGGAUAGGAGCUCCUGCUGCAUGGUGGGGGUUGGAAAGUUUCGGCGGUUGGGGAUGGACUCGCGGCGUAUCAGCUUGUUGGUGGGGUAGUGGCUUACCAAGGCUUUGACGGGUAGCCGGCCUGAGAGGGUGACCGGCCACAUUGGGACUGAGAUACGGCCCAGACUCCUACGGGAGGCAGCAGUGGGGAAUAUUGCACAAUGGGCGGAAGCCUGAUGCAGCAACGCCGCGUGCGGGAUGACGGCCUUCGGGUUGUAAACCGCUUUCGCCUGUGACGAAGCGUGAGUGACGGUAAUGGGUAAAGAAGCACCGGCUAACUACGUG
rnacentral:rRNA from 1 species